CCGGGAGGCAGCAGUGAGGAAUAUUGGUCAAUGGACGAGAGUCUGAACCAGCCAAGUAGCGUGAAGGAUGACUGACCUAUGGGUUGUAAACUUCUUUUAUAUGGGAAUAAAAUGUUCCACGUGUGGGAUUUUGUAUGUACCAUAUGAAUAAGGCUCGGCAAACUCCGUGCCAGCAGCCGCGGUAAUACGGAGGAUCCGAGGGUUAUCCGGAUUUAUUGGGGUUAAGGGGUGCGUAGGCGGAUCGUUAAGUCAGUGUGAAAAUUGAGGGGCGAAACCCCUUCCCGCCAUUGAAACUGGCGCACUUGAGUGGAAGAGAGGUAUGCGGAAUGCGUGGUGUAGCGGUGAAAUGCAUAGAUAUCACGCAGAACCCCGAUGGCGAAGGCAGCAUGCCGGCUUCCGACUGACGCUGAAGCACGAAAGCGUGGGGAUCGAACAGGAUUAGAUACCCUUGUAGUC
rnacentral:rRNA from 1 species